rnacentral:rRNA from 6 species
GUGGGUAACCUGCCCAUAAGACUGGGAUAACUCCGGGAAACCGGGGCUAAUACCGGAUAACAUUUUGAACUGCAUGGUUCGAAAUUGAAAGGCGGCUUCGGCUGUCACUUAUGGAUGGACCCGCGUCGCAUUAGCUAGUUGGUGAGGUAACGGCUCACCAAGGCAACGAUGCGUAGCCGACCUGAGAGGGUGAUCGGCCACACUGGGACUGAGACACGGCCCAGACUCCUACGGGAGGCAGCAGUAGGGAAUCUUCCGCAAUGGACGAAAGUCUGACGGAGCAACGCCGCGUGAGUGAUGAAGGCUUUCGGGUCGUAAAACUCUGUUGUUAGGGAAGAACAAGUGCUAGUUGAAUAAGCUGGCACCUUGACGGUACCUAACCAGAAAGCCACGGCUAACUACGUGCCAGCAGCCGCGGUAAUACGUAGGUGGCAAGCGUUAUC